GGCUAAGAGGUUUCAAAGAGCUGCCCUUUCACAAGGAGCACUUCCCUUAUUCAGCUGGUUUCUGGAACACAGCAGCUUUGUGUUCCGCUCCUGUGCUUUUUCCCUCUCUGUAAUUGUGUCUCUUCAUUCACAGAAUAUCUAACCAACUUAACACCCUCUGCUUUUAUUCUCUGUAAUCCAGUUUCCUUUUGAUUUUAGCUUUUGCUGCCAAGGAGAGAGGAGUAGAAAGAAGUUGCUGAUGUGAGGAGAGCAGAUCUUUCUCUGCAGUCUGGUGAACGGAUUUGGCUGAGCCACUUCACAACAAGAUAAACAGCACAGAAGCGGGAGACAAAGCGAGAUGGCUGCUCUGCAGUAAUUAUCACUCUGUUCAGAUGAAUACGGAUUAGUCUCUUUUUUCAUAACUGCUACACCAACAAUCGCAGCGAUAUAGUGAGUGUGAAUUACAUUCCCCGGCUCAGCGAGGUACUUACAUGCUUUAUUUUUCUCAGUUACAUAUUCUCGUGAUUGGCACUGCAGUGCAUCAUUUUAGACGUUUCCUAGGUCAGUGGAAUUUUUGCCUGAAUGAAAGCUUCAGGAAGUUGUUUUUCCAUAAGUUUUGUUAUUUCUUUGGCUGUACAGAGUUGUCCUUCACAUCAGUUUCCUCAGGUUUCUGUACUCAAGGAAGCCAGUUUCUAUAACUACUUGGAAAACUCCUGUCUAGCCAUUCCUGUGUCUACUUCUGGCAAAACACAAAACUUUUCAGGUUCAUGACACUUUCCUUUUCUAUAUUGCACCAAAAAUACAAUUAUCACUCGUUAAAUGAGCUGCAAGAUUACAAUAAAGGACUAUGUUCUUCUAAUUCAAUCAAGUGAUUUUCCACUAGCCUGUGCAGAAUGGCUCCUGAUUUAUACCAAUUGAAGCAGAAAAAAAAGAAUGAGGCAUUAGCUGUGGAAUAAUCCGUGUUCUGGUUAUCCCUAAGUGCAAAAUUCUCACUGAGAGAAAAAAGCAGCCUCAAUAAAGCAGAGCUUAAACAUCACAUUUAAAUUAAUCUAAACCCAGACUAGGCACGUCAGAUUUAAGACAGAUAUAUCUUUUUCAUUUGUUACGGAAUGCAGAAGGUGUUUGGCUGUAGGAAAAGGUGCUGGCGCUCUGAGGGAAUACGGUGUGCCACUGGAUUUUUAUUUGGUGGACAGAGCCAUUGCUGGUGUUCUAUCAAUGAAUUCUCUGAUAGAGCUCUGAGCUCUCCAGCAGCGCUAUAUUACAGUCAGGCAGCAGAGACUCGUGUUUGUCUCUGCCUUAGAGUGGGUAGAGCUCCCUCUCAGGCAAGGUCUGAGAUCUUCCUGCGACUCAUACCACCAACCACUUUGGUUUUCACUGGGCUUUAAGUAGCCUGAUUUCUGGUUUACUCUAACAAGCUGGGCUGAAAAGAGUGGCAGGGGUAGUUUCAAAAGUGUAUUUCCAUACAGUGCUGGAAGCCCUCCAGAGCCCUGAGUAGUGCUCUGGAUGCCACUUUUAUUCCAGCAGUGGUGCCUGUUAGUCUGUUAUCAGCUGGGACUUGUCCUACGGAAUGUCCUAAAGACUUAGUGCAGUGAAGGCUUUGUGUGCAAAUCCAGUCCUGAACCUGGAGCAUCCCUGUGAGCAGCAGCUCAAGGGAAAGCAGGCUUAGCUGGGAGCUGGUUUUGAGCCAAAUCCAAUUGUUGAACAAGCGACUUCAGAGAAAUAAAUGCAAGAGGUUUUUCUGCUUCAUGAAGCAUUCACUGCCAUCACCUCAUUUUUAUUAUCAUCCUCACAGUACAAGCUCUACAGCCCGCUCAGGGGGCAGCUUACGUUUAGGUUUCAUCUUUUGAUUCCUGCAGAAUUAAUAUUACCCUCAGUGUAGCACACUCGCUCCUUUGUAAGACCUUGCCUUGAAGCGAGAAUCCCAGACAGCGUGCACCAAGGUUUGCCCUCAUCAUGUUUUGGUCAUGAGUGUAAUUUUGUUCAGUGUUGGCCACCGUUCAUUUGUUCAAGGGGUAUGGACCCUCACAACUAGGAAUCAUUGGAUCCACAGGGUAAUAGCGCUGAUGGUGGUUCUGUGACUGUGCUGAAGCAAGAGAUCCCUCGCUAUCUGCUGAAAGAAUGAAUUGCUGCAGCUUGCGCAGGUGAGCUGUGGAAUAAAGCAAUCCUCUGGGCACAGAGAGUUUGAUAACUCCUGUAUGGCACGCAGGGAAGCUGUGUCAUUUGUAUCAAACAUGUUAACGGGGAGCCAUUCCACCUGCAGCUGUACAGCUCUACAGGAGCCAAAUAUCAGAAAAUUUCCAAGUCCUGAAAGGAGCCAAGUGCCUGACUUUGUUAGGAAACCAUUGCUUCUGUUAAUGAACUUGGCACUGCAAAAGCUAUUGUUGAGCACUCAAUGGCCAUUCCACUAGUUUGCAGGAUGUCAGAGGCUGAAGAUCACAUUUAGCUGCAUUCCACCCACACCUGCUUUAUUUUAAGCCUGUGUUUUAUGCCUCUUUGUUGGGAAAAUGCAGUAUCCCAAAAGGUUCCUAUGAAAGUCCAGUCCCUAUCCAAUUUAAAGAAAUAGAUGAGUCAGUGAAAAACUGGUCUUAAUUAAAUCAAUGGAUGUUUUCCUGUAAAAGCAGACAAAGAAAAUAAGCUUUUAAGAUUGAGCAUUGUUCUGAGUUUCCCUUGGAGGAGACUGAUUUGGCUCCUCUCUGCUUGUCUGCACUGUAGAGGAUGAUUGUUCUGCAUUUUCACACCUUGGUUAAUCACAAAGAGAGGCCUACUACUUUCUGGCUGUCUCAGUGUUGUAUUAACGGAAGAGAUGUGAGUUCGGUGAGAUAAAAAAGCACCUGGUUGAUGCCAGUAGGCGCUCUUCUAAUUGAGGGAUGACUUCACAGAGUUGUGUAUCCAAACCUUGAAAUAUGUUAAUGCAAUUAAGGAUUUUCUUAUGGUGAAGAUUUCUGUCUUUGCUAUUUAUAAUGCAUGUAGCAGAGUUUGGGUGGGUUUUAUUGUUUUCAGUUUUUUUGCAUACACAUUGUAAUUGUAAGAAAAAUUGCAAAAGGUGGAAGACUGACCAUACAUUUGUAGAUAAAAGAGAAAGAAGAAAAGCUAAACCACCUACCCAGCUGGAGGUCAAAUCCAAACCAAGGGCUACUUGACAACAAGUACACCUUUGGAAAGAUGGAAAUUCUAUGAGGCUUUGUCAUAUAUGGGGAAAUCAGCUUUAGUUUCCUUCCCAUCCCAUCACCACAGUCCAUUUCUCCCUUACUGUGUGAGCCAUUCGUUUGGGGACCAUAUUUGCCAGUGUGCUUUCUAAGGGGGAGGGUUAAAAAUAACCUAAGUUUAUUUUUAAACUGGAAUGCUUAAGUGAUCUGGUUUACAGUGUUACUUGACAGACAGCUCAGGCCAACUGAGGGUACAGGCAACUUUGGGCUUUGCUUUCAGAGCUGGACGGUGGUGACAUUCCACCUUUUAAAUGCUUCAUUUGUCUUUUUUUUCCCAAAUGAAAUAUGAACACUAAAUGCGUGAAAUCUGAGUUGUCAGCCUGACUGUUGGUGUCGCAGGCACGUGGACUGGAUUAGAGCCAGUCGACUGCGAUUCUGCUCAGUGCUCUGAAAAGAUGGGAGCCUUGGGCUCUGGUGCCUCACUAGUGGUGCUUCAGCACAUUGCUUGAUUUGGGAAUUAAUCUGCUUGUAGGGAGAGAAAACAAGCCCUUCUGAGUGUAAUUAGAGUAGAGGUCCUUCCAUGGAUCUCUGAUAGACAGAGGCAAGUUCAUAGUAGCAGGUCCAUAGAGAAGAUUGCAUGUUUUUUUCCCAGUGUACCUUUCCUUUUAAAGGCUGAGUCACCAUGUUCCUGGCUCUGAUACAGAUGCAUGGAGGAAGAUGGGGACAGGCUGAGAGAGUUGGGCUUGUUCAGCCUAGAGAAAAGAAGGCUCCAGGGAGAUCUUAUAGUUGCCUUCCUGUACUUAAAGGAAGCUACAGGAAAGCUGGGGCUCUUAAGGAGGGAGUGCAGGGAUGGGAUGGGGGGAAAAGGUUUUAAGUGGAAAGAGGGGGGAUUUAGAUUAAAUAUUGGGAAGAAUUUUUUUCCUGUGAAGGUGGUGAGGCACUGGCACAGGUUGCCCAGAGAAGUCGUGGCUGCCCCAUCCCUGGAGGUGUUCAAGGCCAGGUUGGAUGGGGCUUCGAGCUGCCUGAUCCAGUCGGAUGUCCCUGCCUGUGGCAGGGGGGUUGGAAAUGGAUGCUCUUUAAGGUCCCUUCCGACCCAAACCAUUCUAUGUUUCUGUGGCGAUUCUCUGUGCGUCCAAGUUUCUCUGCCCAGGUCUGAAUUGUACAGUCUGAAGGAGAGCACACAACUGCAUACUUAAUGUGUCCGUCUCCUUCAGCUCCCCUGGGGUCCAUUCAGCGCCAUGCCUUGCUCCAGCAUGUGUCAUUACCAAAUAUUUGAUCAAAGCGGUUCUAAAGAGAGAAUAAUCUCCAAGGUGACUUGUCAGUUUAGGGUGAGUUUUCCCAGCCUCUCAGGUGUGCCAUCCGCAUAGCAAUUGUCAGGAGAACAAUAGUGAUGUAUUAUCUCAUUGAAGCAUUUUUUAUCCAUUCCAAUAAGACCUGAUCAGACAGCAGCUGAAUUGGUUGCAUCUAGUGAUAAGUAUUAGACGAGGCGAUGAGCUAAUGCAAACCUGAAAGCUCUUAUUUGAUAUUUACUGGGUUGCUUUGAGAACUCCCACAUGCCUGGUCAUGUCCCAGGCACCUUUUCAAGCCUCAUUUUCGCUGCCUGUAUCCACACUCAGGAAAGCCACCAGCAGCAAUAGAAUGUUCAUGUGGAGUUCUAUAUUAAGCAUCUCUUUUAUAUGGGAAAUGAAGAGUGCAAAUGUAUUUAUUACCUAUUUUGUGUACUAUGCAUUGAGUAUUUAUGAAAUCUAGAAUGCGUUUUUGCUGUUCUUACUCCUUUUCUCCCGUUGCUAAAAUAAAUGGAAUACAGUGCAGGAAUUUCACUGCACAGAUAUUUUCAUACACUUGUGCUCUUAGUUCCCUUUUUAAUUCUGUGGAAAAUUUAGGUACGCAUGGAUUCAGUUACCUCAGCCAUAGAAUAAAAUCUUUGGAGUCAAACCGAUCGGGUCAUACAAGGCAUAGCUGCUGGAGGGAAAAAAGAAAAAGCUGCUUUCCUCUGGAAAAAUUGGCCUUUUCUGAUAAUUUUGGCUUUGUAAAUAACAUGUAAAAAUGCUCAUCCACUUUUGAACAUGCAGAGUUUCUCUGGUGCACUCGGGUACAAGCAACGGCUGAGAUACUAAACUGUUACCCAGUUCUUCCUCUAAAGAAUUGUUGAAGAAAGAGGAUUAUUAUUCACACGUUUUUUAAAAAAGUCAUCUGAAGGUCAGUGAAUUCUUUAUGAUUUUCUUGUUUUAAAUCUCUUAUUAGGAUAAUUGUAUUAUUUUAAAAGGAAUUAAUUAGUAAAGUAACACGUCCAAGCAUUUGCCUGCGAUCCAAGGAGUCAUUUCACCUCACCUGCUGAAACAGAAACCAGAGGAUUCUGUCUGACUAAUUAUCUUGGACGUAUUAGUUGUAAUGGUUUUAAUUAUUCUAAAUAACUGCCAUGAGAAAAAUAAUACUCUAAAAUUACUUUUAAUAAUGUAAGAGUAUUUUGUAACAACUACUAUUUCCAAUACACAGGAAAAACAGCAACAGGUUGGAAAAAAACCUUCAUUUUUGUCAGAGAAUUAUGAGAGACAAAAGUUAACCUCAGAGACAGAGUCACCGUAGACUUUUUCAGUUGCUUAUUUCCUAGUUCUGAAAAGCAACUGUUUUCUUAUUUCAAAAGCAAACUAGAAGUUGAACAUGGCUUUGGUAGAAAAUUACUCUUCACCACCCCAGGCCUUUUUAUGGAAUGUCUAUAUCUCCCUAUAUCUCUCAAUUCCUGAUUAACUCCUGAUGCAUUUCUUAUUGCUCUCCCCUUUAGAGAUACAAGUUCAGUUCCUCAGUGUUUUUUCCAGGGCAUGUGGCACACACGUGAGGAGGAAAUACCAGACUGACGACAACUUCUUGUCUGUGCAUAGCAGGGCACCCCAGCCGUGAGCUCCAGACAUGCAUGUGAGGAUUCCAGGAUCUGAAGUGUCUGAAACACAUGAGCCAGGAGCUGGGGAAUUACCAGUGCACGUUAUUAUUAUUGAACACCAUCCACCAGGAAACUGGAAGUCAACACUUACAGG